UGGGGAAUAUUGCACAAUGGACGAAAGUCUGAUGCAGCGACGCCGCGUGAGGGAAGAAGGUAUUCGUAUUGUAAACCUCUGUCUUCGGGGACGAUAAUGACGGUACCCGAGGAGGAAGCCACGGCUAACUACGUGCCAGCAGCCGCGGUAAAACGUAGGUGGCAAGCGUUGUCCGGAAUUACUGGGUGUAAAGGGAGCGCAGGCGGAAAGGUAAGUUGAAUGUGAAAUCUAUGGGCUCAACCCAUAAAUUGCGUUCAAAACUAUUUUUCUUGAGUGAAGUAGAGGCAAGCGGAAUUCCAGGUGUAGCGGUGGAAUGCGUAGAUAUCUGGAGGAACACCGGUGGCGAAGGCGGCUUGCUGGGCUUUUACUGACGCUGAGGCUCGAAAGCAUGGGUAGCAAACA
rnacentral:rRNA from 1 species